rnacentral:lncRNA from 1 species
UUGAAGAGAUAUAUUUAAUAACUAAAAUUUUGUAGAAAUCAAUAUCUAAUUUCAUUGCUUUCUAAAAAAUUCUAAUAUGUAGUUAAUCCAACAAGAAAAAAAAAAACAAAAACAAAAAAAAUCCCUCCAGCACCCGGCAAUGAUCGAUCACUUUAAAGACAUGUUUGGUUCAUGAUUGGAAUAGGAAUGGAAAAUAGAAUUGGAUUACUUUGAAAUGGAAAAUGAAAUGGCGAAUCAUCCAAAAAUAUUUGGUUUAUUAUUGGAAUGGAAAUCGGAAUGAAAAUUUAAAAUUGUUGAGAGAGGGUUUUGAUUAUGAAGGGAGAGGAGGUAAGUGUUGAUAAAAGAGAAUUUUGAAUAGUAUACUUUGGAAUGAGCCAAUUCAGAAUUCAAAGCCGGAUUGGAUAAUAAAUGGAUUUGGCCAUUCCCAUUCCGGAGUGGAAUAGAAAUCGGAAUCCGAUUCCUAUAAAACAAACGACAACUAUCGGAAUCAAUGAAUUCCAUUCAGAUUCCAUAGUCUAAAAUAGGUGAACCAAACAUGCCCUAAAGGUUCAGUUCGGCCUCGCAGCCCAGGUUGUAGAACUUUC